rnacentral:rRNA from 1 species
UGAGGAAUACAUCGCAAUCUACUUUUUCAUGGGGGAUAACGUAGGGAAACUUACGCUAAUACCGCAAACGACCUACGGGUGAAAUCAGGGGACCUUCCGGCCUUGCGCGAUUGAAUGAGCCAAUGUCUGAUUAGCUAGUUGGCGGGGUAAAGGCCCACCAAGGCGACGAUCCGUAGCUGGUCUGAGAGGAUGAUCAGGCCACACUGGAACUGACCACACGGCCCAGACUCCUACGGGAGGCAGCAGUGGGGAAUAUUGGACAAUGGGCGCAAGCCUGAUCCAGCCAUACCGCGUGGGUGAAGAAGGCCUUCGGGUUGUAAAGCCCUUUUGUUGGGAAAGAAAUCCAGCCGGCUAAUACCUGGUUGGGAUGACGGUACCCAAAGAAUAAGCACCGGCUAACUUCGUGCCAGCAGCCGC